GACGAACGCUGGCGGCGUGCCUAAUACAUGCAAGUAGAACGCACAGUUUAUACCGUAGCUUGCUACACCAUAAACUGUGAGUUGCGAACGGGUGAGUCACGCGUAGGUAACCUGCCUGGUAGCGGGGGAUAACUAUUGGAAACGAUAGCUAAUACCGCAUCAUAUUGAUUAUUGCAUGAUAAUUGAUUGAACGAUGCUAUUGCAUCACUACCAGAUGGACCUGCGUUGUAUUAGCUAGUAGGUGAGGUAACGGCUCACCUAGGCGACGAUACAUAGCCGACCUGAGAGGGGGAUCGGCCACACUGGGACUGAGACACGGCCCAGACUCCUACGGGAGGCAGCAGUAGGGAAUCUUCGGCAAUGGACGAAAGUCUGACCGAGCAACGCCGCGUGAGUGAAGAAGGGUUUCGGAUCGUAAAGCUCUGUUGUAAGAGAAGAAAGGGUGUGAGAGUGGAAAGUUCACACUGUGACGGUAUCUGACCAGAAAGGGACGGCUAACUACGUG
rnacentral:rRNA from 1 species